AAUUAAUCAUAUUCCAAACCACUAAAAUACCAAAGAACACUACUAUGCUUUCUACCACUAAUAAUACUCCUUCAUCAAUUGAUAACAAUAAUGUAUAAUCCUGCACUCUCAAAAGACUAUUCAAAAUACACAAAUUCCAUCCAACGUUAGAAAUAACAGUCUUCAAUCCCAACCAAUCUCGCUUCACAGAAUUUCUAUAAUCACAAACUUCUUCUGUCAAAACACACACAACUCUCAAUCAAUAAUAAUCAUUAUCUUCUAUUUAGAAUCAAUCUUCCAUAGAAUCUAAUAACAAACUUUCAAUAUCUUUUCGUAAUAAUUCAAUCACAUAGUACUCCAAUUACAUACUAAAUAUCUCAUAAAUCAAUCUCUGAUUUAUUCUACAAAUUUACUUUACAAUAUUCAAAAAGUAUCCAUUACUUUUUAAUUACAAAAAAAACAAAUAAAACAAAGAGGUAGCACCAAGCUUAUCCCGGCUCAUGACUAUCAUACUCUGAUUCCUUCAAUAUCUUCUUCAACUUACUUAUACUUUACUUCUAAAAUUCUAGAUUUUUACUAUUAUUCUCUACUUAACCACUUUUCACAACUAAUUCAAUCAUCCAACCUACUGAAUUGAGAAUCCUAGGACUGAUUAAUCUACUUUACUUAUAUCUUACAAAAAUAAAUUUCUAUCCAUUCUACAUAGCCCCAUUCUUAACUGAGCAAUGUCCUCGCAAACACAGAAUUAAUACAUAUCUAAAAAAAACUACUUAACAAAAUUCUAUAAAAUUACUAU
rnacentral:lncRNA from 1 species